rnacentral:rRNA from 1 species
UGACUUCGAAUCAGGUAGGGAUACCCGCUGAACUUAAGCAUAUCAUA